UUAGGCCACAUAAAGGAAAAGCCUCACAGUGCUGAAGUGCUCAGGGCAGAGCAGUGCCGGUGCACGGUGUGUCACUUGUCCGUCGUGCCUUCUGUGUCUUUUGCCUUAGUCCUUUGAGGGGCUUAUCGGAAGCCCGGGCGUCCAUCUUUGCAUCUCUCAUCUCUGUGUUCCUCGGCCCCGUGCCGAUUCCUUCUUACCUUUGGCUCGGGAGCCCGCACAGGCCUUGGAGUAGCAUCCGGUCAGAUGUCUUUUGCGGUCUUGUUCUGGGCUGUUCUCGACAGCUGUGAUUUGUGACAAUUGUGACGGCAAGGAUGCGUUCUAGCAGAUUAGGACUCGUAGCAAUGCGGAGAUCCGUAGAGCAUUCUGACGCUAGGAUUCUCGGGCAUCCUUCUCUGCCUUGCUUGGAAUAGGUCAUUCACUUAGCAUCUUGUUCCUGCAGGGUUCUCUGCGCCUUAGAGGCUCGCCAUCAGUCUCAGCUAGGUCAUCUCAAUCUGCAGUCUCUGGCUCCCUGAGGGCAUUCUUCUCGCUCAGAGCUUUCUCCCCGUGUUGUGUCCCCUUGUUUGUCUUGUUCUGUGUCACGGGUGUCUGGGUAUUUGGCCUGGAGCUGCUCUGCCCUGCUGCAUAGCCUGGUGUAGGUCUAGAAUGGGGCGUGUCCUGGGGCCUGGAAAUUUGUAAUGUGGGGUGUAUUUGGACUCUAGAUGGGAUCUGUAGAUUGAUGAAGGCUAUCUGGAGCUGUUAAGUUAUCCUGCAGUGCUCUGACUUUUGUCCUAACGUUCUUUCAGACGCAGCCAGAUGGAAUCCGUGGCAGAGGGCCCCGUCCCGGGUGAGGGGGGUCCCCCGAGAAGGAACUAAAGCCAGAUACUAGCAGUCAAGGCGGUCCGCUCGUAUUACGCCGAGACCCCCCUCAGCAACGGGGCCGCAGACACCCGCUUCGUCACUCUCGUGGGAAUUUGGGAAGCAGCGCACGGGUCUGUGAUGAAGCCUUGAUCUUUGACAUUUGAAGGUGUCACCCGGGGAGCCUUCAGGAGCGGCCGAGGAGUUGCUGUAAGUCGGGGAGCUAGGGAGGAG